AAUAUAGAUAUAAUAUAGAUAUAAUAUAGAUAUAAUCACAAGAAUAAACUAUUAAAAGAGACCAAGGGCAACAUGUCAACACAGGACCGAGAACAUCACCGAGAUCCUUCACAGGGAGGAUGAAAGUUAGGAGGCGGUGUCCACGUUGUCCGCGGCUCGUUCGCAGCUCAGCAUGGCGUCACACGUGGCGCAGUUUUGGAGCCUUUUUAUUCGGGAUGCUGUUUGCCUCCGUGUAUGGCAUGAUGGUGCUGUUCAUGCAGAAGCAGGCGGUCUGGUACUGCAUCAUCACCACCGUGGCUAUAGCCGCCCUCGCAGGAUUCGGAAUGGGCCUAUCGGUCCAUGUGCGCGCCAACGUCGUCCUCAUGCUGCCCAUGCUGUGCUCCAAGGAAGGUAAAAAGUUGCUGCUCUUUCUCAUCCUCACGAUGGUGGUUCAAGGCCCUUUAAACAACACCCUGGAAAACUUCGACCGGGCAGCGGCCAGCGUGGUGUGCGGAGCCGAGUUAGCCAUGAACCAAACCCAGCAGCUGAUGCAGCGCGCCGCCACCCCACUGCUGCCUGUGCUGGAUAAGGUGAAGGAGGUCAGCAGAAACGCAUUCUCACUGGCGGGCCGAGUGCAAAACCUCAUCAGAGCUCUCACAGAGUCCGUGCGGCAUGUUGCACGCUCUCUGAGAAACGUGCUGCACUUCCUGGCGAACAUCGGCGACGUGUGCAACGAGAAGAUGGGCACGCCGUACAAAAAGUGUAACGCCGUGUUCGACGAGGGCCGUUCCGACUGCAUGGAGCUGCUCUCCGUAUUUUCCUUCCUCUGCCACAUCGUGGACGGGUUCAGGCCUCUGUGCGGCCUGGCGCGUGUCGGCGAGUUUUUAUGUAUCCUGCCCUCAUAUAUCGCCCAUCAUCUCAAAACUAAACUGUCUUACCCCAUUAUUGCUGCCUUCGAUCAGAUAAAGAAAGAGUUUGACUUCAACAUGUCGGCCAGCGUUCACUUCCACCUGAACCUGAACAGCAGUCAGUCUGUGCAGGAAAUGGCUCAGAAGAUCAUAGAGGAGGUCUCACAGGACCGGGAGCGAUUUCUCCACCUCACGGCGGUUCUGGCGUACGUGGGUCUGUUCCUGCUGCUGCUCAUGUACAUACAGGCAGUGAUGUAUAAAAGACGUUACCUACACGUGAACCAUUUCAACAACAUCUACAUCACAGAGCAGUUUGUGGAGCUGGACCAGGAGCUGGAGAGAGAGGGGAAACCAGCCGUCUUGCCCCUCACUGAGAAAGAGACUCUCACCUACAUCACACCCUACUCCCUGCGGUUGAUGGCUCGAGAGAAACGGGCUCUUAUGACCAGCCUGGUGUCAUUGCUCCGGCACUUGGCGAUGGGCGGCGUGAUUAUAGCCCUGGACCUGAUGGUUUUUUGGAUGUUUGAUAUUCUGCAUCAUCAUGCUCAGGAGGAGAUUGUGGCUCGAGCUCCCGUACUUGUAGAUGUUCAGGUGAACGGAUCAGGCUACUCUUCUGAUAUAUUCAGAGAUAUUCUGAUCUCGUUUGACAUCCUACAGAAAGCGAACAUCACGAUUCUGAGUAAGAAGUGCCUGAUGGAGCCUCUGGAGCCGGAAUACAUGAGCUAUCUAAUCAUAGGCUUUCUUUAUGGCCUUGCCUUCUUCCUGGUGAUCGCUGGAAGUUAUGCGAGACGCCUACAGAGGUCCGUGUGUGCGCAGUACCACCCUCAACGCGAACGGGAGAGGAUCCUGCACCUCCGUAGCCAUAUCCUGUCUCAGCGUGGUUCGUUCUGGAAAGCUUUGCGCCGAACAGUGACCAAAGAAAAGGAGGACCGAGGGAAUGGCAGCGUACUACAGACCCUGGCGCGGCGUGUGCCAGGUGGAGCCGCUAUAGCCAGAUUCCUGGGUGUAAAUGAUAAGUUGUGUCUGGCGUGUGGGAAAGCGCUGCAGGUCAAGGACUGUGGGGAGGUUUACAUCUGUUCUACUCCCAAGUGCUCAGGGUGUUUCUGCAGAAAGUGUUUCAGUAUAAUGGGGAACAUCUGCGCUGUCUGUAUGGGGCCCCUGACAUUCCAAGAAGAUUCUGAGCAUGAGCUAGACUCCAGUGAUGAGGAGCAGGUGGAUCUGUGGGUAGGAACCUCAGACAAUACCAGACACAGAGGGGCCAAUAAAGACCACUCCCGUGACCUAAAUGGCCAAAACAUAGUUUAGGAGCUAUGCAAUACACAGAUGACUGGAAUCGGCUCAGCUCUGUCCAACAAUAAGUUGUUGUUCAAUAAGAAGCCUUAAAUGAUCUCUACAUCCAUCUAGAAGAGGAUUUGCUGCAGGCCCAGACGUGUCAUUGCAAGACCAGAGCUCAUAUUAUGCAAGCGAAGACCUUGUCAUCUUGUUCAUGCUGUAAUAAAAUAAAUAUAAUGCA